rnacentral:rRNA from 1 species
CUCUUGGGCACCCAGCCUGCCAUGGCUACGAGGGGACGUGGCGGGGGAAGUGUGGCUAGCAGGAGACGGCAGCCGCCCGGGUGUCGAUCGGGGACCUGAGUCCUUCUGAUAGAGGCUCCCACCCGCGGACGGUGUGAGGCCGGUAGCGGCCCUCGUCGCCCCGGGGCACCGUCUCCUCGGAGUCGGGUUGUUUGCGAAUGCAGCCCAAAGCUGGUGGUAAACUCCAUCUAAGGCUAAAUACCGGCAUGAGACCGAUAGCCGACAAGUACCGUGAGGGAAAGUUGAACAGAACCUUGAAGAGAGAGUUCAACAGGGCGUGAACCCGUUAAGAGCUAAACUGGUGG